UACGUAGGGUGCGAGCGUUAUUCGGAAUUAUUGGGCGUAAAGCGUGCGCAGGCGGUGCGGUAAGACCGUUGUGAAAUCCCCGGGCUUAACCUGGGAACUGCAUUGGUGACUGCAGCGCUGGAGUAUGGCAGAGGGGGGUGGAAUUCCGCGUGUAGCAGUGAAAUGCGUAGAUAUGCGGAGGAACACCGAUGGCGAAGGCAAUCCCCUGGGCCUGCACUGACGCUCAUGCACGAAAGCGUGGGGAGCAAACAGG
rnacentral:rRNA from 1 species